GACACGUGCGUGACAUAAUUAUAUAUCAAUUAGUAGGGUAUUUAAAGAGUAUUUGUUACCUGGGCAAUAAUAUUUGUUUGCCCUUCAUGAUAAUUAAUUUAAUUUUAAUGUUAAUAUGUUUAUUGAAUGCACAUAUUGUAAGUUUCAAAUCAAGGAUUAUGCUAUGAACUAUUAUGAUGUUGUUUUGUAAUUUCAAAAUUUAUUCAAGAGUCUACAUGGCAUGCAGAUCAGAGAAAAUUGGAGACCUAGCUAGCUGGAACGUCAUGGAAGGUUGGCAAGCUCCAGUCUGCCAGGCAAGAAGAUGGACAUUCCUGUGGGCAUUUGUCAUGUUGAAUGCUCUUGUUAUUACAAGAGGGAUUGAUCCUCGAAACGUUGAGAAAUAUGCCAGAAACAUGGAGUUAAUGUCAAACUGACCACCAACGCUGUGCCCCCACCUAACCAGCGGAAAACCUGCGACAUGGUUCAGUGUCUGGUGGCCCAUUCAGAGAAACCACCGACCAGCAGUGCGACGUUUGUGGUCGCUGGCUCCAUCUGUACUGUGUCUCAAUCAGUGAGGCACCAGGGGAAGGUAUUGUUGCGCCCACUAUGCAUAGUCAUUGUGAGUGAUGGAAAGCGUAUGGUGAGACUGCACAACUUCACUUUAAGUAAAAUUACCAUCAUGUUCCAUGUAUUAUGUUCCAUCGUAACCUUAUCUGCACUUAUAGGGCUAGGCAGCAUCCAUUUUUCUCCUUAUCUCCUAUCACACCUUGUGUGUUAUGUUGUAUGUGACCUAAACAUCUUGUUACUACAGUUUUCAUCAAAUCUGGCUCUUUGAUUAGAUUGCAAAUUAACAUGAUAAUAGUUUAAAUGAGAUCCAAUGUCACAGAUAAAGAAUGUCAAAAUCUUUUAUAGGAAUAAGAUGACUAAUGAAUGUUCAACUAUCCUGCCUCCAGAGGAAAACCAAUGAAUGCCAUGGGGGAAAAAAGUUUUAAAGUUUCUAUCUGUGAGUGUUGAACCCACCUACAUGUAGUUAUCACUUUGGAUUGUGCAUUGUUUGUGUGCGCUUGUAGUAAACAUGAAGGUACACUGUAUGCACGAAACGUUCAGUGUUCCCCAAACUAUGAUAAAAUAUUCAUGUACUGUCUGGUGACAUGCAAACUUUGUUAUGCUGCAAAGAAGAGAUGAUG